UCAGUAGCUGAGUGGAUAAAGCGAUAGAUUUUGAAGCGAACGAUACUGUGUUCGAGUCCCAGAGUGA
rnacentral:tRNA from 11 species